rnacentral:rRNA from 1 species
UACGGAGGGGGCUAGCGUUGUUCGGAAUUACUGGGCGUAGAGCGUACGUAGGCGGCUUUGUAAGUUAGAGGUGAAAGCCCGGGGCUCAACUCCGGAAUUGCCUUUAAGACUGCAUCGCUUGAAUCAUGGAGAGGUGAGUGGAAUUCCGAGUGUAGAGGUGAAAUUCGUAGAUAUUCGGAAGAACACCAGUGGCGAAGGCGACUCACUGGACAUGUAUUGACGCUGAGGUACGAAAGCGUGGGGAGCAAACAGG